AGCUCAUUUUAUGGACUAUAACUAGGACUCAGUAUGUUUCAUCAUUUUCAGCAAAAGGAAGGAAAUCAGCAUACUAGACCAACUCUCUGGGUAUGAUGCAACCUCAACAACUAAGAAGUUCAUCAGAAAAGAGAGAGAGAUGGAAAAGAUGGAUUGCAGCAUGAGGGAAGUGGAGACCACAGACAAGAAGAAUGACUGGUUGCCCAGCUGAGGUGGACAUAGUAUCAAGAGAAUGGUGACUGAGGCUGUCACUGUGGUUUCCUGCUCAUACCUCCUCUGUCUCCCCAAGAAGUCACCUGCAGACAGUUUCUAUACAUCUUUAAGGCUUCUGGAAUCUUUCUACCUAAAGGCAUUUUCUCAGCUAAGGAGCAUGCUCAGCCUGGGCAUUGGGCAGGAGGGAAGUGCCAGGGACUUAAGAAUGAAGAAUAGAAGUUCACAGACAAAUAGCUCAUGUUCUUCUCUCUUCAGUGGGACAGUUCUGUGGCAUGUUCUACAUUGUUUGUGAUGAUACGCUGCAGGAUUGAGCCUCAGUGUCCCAUGAUUACCAGUUUAUUAUAAAAGGAAACACCUCAGGAACAGCCAGAUGGAAGAUGCACAGGGCAGGUAUGUGGGAAGGGGCACAGAGCUUCCAUGCCUUCUAA